GUGAGCUCUUUUCCCAUGGAAGAAAGCAGGACUCAGCUUGACUCUUGGCUUCCGGGUUUGAGUGCAGCUCCUGAAGAGGCAAGAGUUUGGCCUGGACGUCCUGGCAGGUGGCCCUGCCCUGCCUUGGCAGAGAACUUUGGUCGAGGUUCCCCGUGGGCCUCCUGCUCUUCCUCUGUGGACCCUGGACCCUGUUCCUCUGCCUUUCCUCCUCCCACUUCAGAAGACCCCGUCCACCAGACCGCCUCCCCCUGAGGCCCAACAUGCAGCAGAGGCAGCUCCUCCGUCCCUGCAGCCUCCUUUUAACUGUGGGAUAUGGCAGCCACCCGUGGAGCGGUCCGGGUGACAAAGCCAGCGAGAGCUAGGGAGCGCCCAGGUGAAAUCCCACAGGCAGGUGUGAGCACCAAUUGUCAUUACCUUUGCCCUGGGCCCCUCAGAGACCUGUCCUCCCCCCCCGCCCCCAACAGCCUCCUGGGCGCGGCCACAGACACAGACACAGUGUCUGGACGAGCAGACUCGUCCAGGCACUGCUCAGAGGCAGCCCCUCUGGGUCAGCUGGAGUCGGUGCCUCUGAGAACCUGCCCCUGUACUCUCUCUGGGCUGGUCUCAGGCACCCUGCUGGCUCCAGCCUCUCUUGGCUGACAGUGCUUGGCAGGCGACCCCCAGCCUGAAGCCCCUGCAGGGGAGACCCUCUCCCAGCUGGGCCUCUGCCCUUGAGGACCACCUGAAGCCAUCCUUGCCUGCCACACCAGGGUGGCAUUGGGGUGGGGACCCAAACCCCUCCCGUCCUCAUUGCAGGGACAACUCUGUCUCCUUGCUGCCUCCCCAACACCUCCAGGCCUUAACCAUCUUGACUUGGGGAGCAGUCCUGCUGUCCACGCUCCCUCCAACAAGCCAGAGAAAACUCCCGGGCACAGGUGUGCGUGUGGCACGGUGAGUUUUUCUGUAAUCCACUCACCUUUAUGGAUUUACCGCACCAGGGGAAAUAUUACAACAGGCAUUUGUUACUUUACAAAUUCCUAGGCUUCCUCUCCCUUCCUUGCAAGGGCAUUUUUAGAAAGCAUUUCGCCAACAUUCACUAUUUACCACCAUAAAUGUGACUCUGGCCAGCUCUGUCCCUGGGUAAGGCCAGAAUUGACCAUUUUCUUAAAAGUUCCAGCGCCCUGAGGCUUCUGGCAGGCAUCUCUGCAGCUGAGGAAGGCUUCUGUCCCGUGCACCCUUCCCCAGGCGGGGGACCCCCAGUUCUGCUGCUCUGGGGCCUCAAAGAACCAAGUCCUCCAAGCUGCUCCACUGCCUCCUCACCAGCCACGGUGCUCCCUGAGCCACAAACCUCCGGCCUCACCCCUGCCCCUCAGGCCCACGUCUUGCAAUGGACUCUGCCAGUCCACACAUGCCUGGGUGGGGAGGGGUGUGCACUUCUGCAGCUGGGGUGAAGACAGGGACAGGGUAAUGUGAGACUCAGAUAUGAGACGCCAGGUGCAAAACUGCAGGUGGAGAGCUCCCUGUAGAGUGCAGGGGUUCAGGGUAGAGGCUCUGGGGUCUGGAAAGAGCUGGGCGUAGCUGUCACCAACCUUUCUCUGCCUCAGUUUUUUUUUUGUUUGUUUCUUUUUUUUU
rnacentral:lncRNA from 1 species